rnacentral:sRNA from 1 species
AAAAAAUCUUACCACAUGUUUUGUGGGGACAUAGAUCGUGCGAUCACACCCAUCUUUGUUUACGGAGGGUCCCAAACGAAAUCCUUUCGCUUUUACCCAAAAUCUGAACUUGGAAUUGUCCGCAGUAGAAGGCUCCUCUCCUGUUAAGAUUUUUACAAUUCGGUCGUGCUUUUUGUGGGUCACUGUUUUAGUUUUUCCACUAUCCCCAUAAUUUUGGAGGGCCCAAGUCUGAAAAGUCUCAAACAUCUCCUGCUUGUUAAUGGAGCACCGCGAGCUGUCAACGGCCCUCGCAGCAGACGACAUUUUGCUACUUUGUCACCAGACAGGACAGAGAGAGAAUUAUAUACGGCAAGUUUCUAAUUUAGACGAAUUCCCGUUGACUUUGGACGGUGAGCACGCGUCAAAUUCACGGCCUGCUCUUAGCUGUCACAUCCAGACAUCCGACUGAACUGAUUAGGACGUUGGAAAGAGUGCGGGACAGAGGUGACGAAUCAGCUCAGCCAAUCAAAAGCAGAGAAACAAUGGUCCCGUUCGGGAAUGAACUUGUUGGGCAUGCUCAGUACGAGGUUUAUUCUUGAGCAUGGCGAAGGUGAAAAUGAGAAGGCGGGACACUGUUAACUAGAAUUGACGUCCGAUACGUGAAAUACUGCAUACUUUUACCAAUAUCAUGUACAUGGAUGAUUAUUUAUAAUACUUAUAAAGUAAUAUUGGGUUAUUUUAAAAUCGUUGUUUUAUAUGUAUAUUUAUAUAGAGACAUUCUGUAAUCUGAACAGGAUAAGCCAAUUCCACAUAUAUUCUGCGGGAAAAAAGCAGUAUUGAUCGUAGUUUGUUCUGGUUUCCAAGGUAAAAAAGAAGAAAGGUGUUGGUACAAUCCGCUGGUGACACUAUCCAUAAUAUCAAAUCAGUGCACCCUUGGGGUGGGAGAGAGCGAUUGCUGGUGUGCAAAAUUGAAUUUUACGCCAAGUAUCCCGUUCACAAUUGAUGACGUAAUCAUGUGUCUUACCGUUUUCACAACGGCAAACCCAUCAUUAAAGUCUUUGUGUGUUUAUUGGAUUUCUGUUUCAUUUUAAUGAAUUGCUCUGACUCGUAAACUAGCGAAUUUUCAAAACAUGUCGUUAAAAUGCAGUUUUCUCUCAAAGCAUCCAACAUGAAAAUUCAACAAUUCCCGUUUUUUUGUGCGCAAAAUCGUGAUAUGAAAAGUUGAUAAUGCUUCUGAAAGUGAUCUGCUAGAAAUCUCAAUGCCGAUACAAUGGAAUUGAUGUUUUGAAAACAACAGAGAAAAGAAUUUUAGAUUUAUCAUUUUAUCACAAUGAUUCAAUAAUCUAUAGUUGGUGUGACCAAUUUGAGUAAAAUUUAUAUUUAUUUUUAUUAAUGUCAUUUUUGUGUCCAGAGGAUGGAGUGUUGGUAUUAAAGAGUUUUCAUGAACAUUUAGUAAAACCUUUGAAUACUGUUUGUUGACUUUUUCACUGUUCGUGAUUUUACCGGUUGAAAGGGUUUUGGUGAUUUGACGGAUUACAUUUUAUGCGAUUUCUUAAUUUGUCCUGUUGAGAAUAUUUUUUCACAUUAUUGGCGAGAAAAGGAAUCUAAGAAACAAUAAAAAAAAAAACGGAGAUGGUC